AAUUAACUGACCUGUGUUUUGGGAGUAUCAUCCUGAAGACAGUCAUGUUAGUAGCAUGGAAAAAGGUUCAGGGUCAGAUCUGUGUUUGAAGAUCAGUUUUCUUACUAGUUUUGUGACCCUGAGAACAUGACUUUACCUCUCUAAUCUUUAAAUGAAAGAUGCGUUCUCUUCCCAUACCCCAUCAUUGGGAUUUCAUAGCUGAAAUGUUCUAUUGUAUUUUGUGUCUAUUGCCUAGACUGUACCCAAAGUCAACAGUGUAACUGCUUUUGCCCAUGAAUCUGCAUGAGCAGGGUUGGGGGGAUGGGACAGACAGCUGGACCUGUCAGUGGGGGCAACCUGAGCAUUACUGGAAGUGGAUUCUUCAGCCCUGGUCACAUGGCUGGUGAGUUGAUACAGGUUAUUCAUUUUUCAGAUGCCUGAGGGGAAGCUUGGGCUUCCUCACAGCAUGGCAGUGGUGUUCUCAGAACAGAUUUCCCAAAAGAUGAGUGUCAGGUGGAAGCUGUAUCACCUUUUAUGAUCAACCUUGGAAGACAAUGCUGUUGUGAACUGAACGCAAGCCCGGGAGUCUUGUCCAGCGAGAGGGUCCCAAACCUGGAAGAGAACAUGCGCAGGAAAAAAAGAAAAAGACAGGGGUCUGGAGGACUGAUUAGGCUAUGCCCAAAACAGCAAUUUUAUUUGUGCAGUAUAGGUCAGAAGAGGAUUAUUCCGGCCCAAGAAACCGUUGGUCUGAGGGUAUACUCACAGGACUGUUGGAGAGCUAUGUUCUUCCUGGUGAGUGGAGACCCUUUUGUUGGUUGCUCUUUAGGUGUUCGGUAACCAAAAGAACUGUUGGUUCUCUUGGCAUAGGCUCCUUAGGAUCCAUGCUGCUGCCUGAGGGCGAAGAAUGUUACCCAUUACUGUCAGCACUAGCUUCCCCACAAAAAGGAUACCAAGCUGGUAAAUGAAAACUUGGUUCUCCUGGCAUCUUUGUCUCUUCAUAAGAACUUGUUGAAAUGGUCCUCGACUGCACCCCUGCACCAUGCUUUUCCUCUGGGGAUUCAAUGGGCUUUACUGGCUGCUUCAUGAAUAAGACAGAUGAGGAGAGUCCAGGUCCACCCUGGAAAUCUUUAGAUAGGACCGUAUCAAGGGGACACAUAACAGCAAAGCUGGAAGAUUGAGACAUUGACAGAGCCAGGUUGAGACACCAUGAAUUUGUUCUUUGGAGCUAGAACUUAGAACUGGCUUCAGUCCUGACCAUGUCUAGAGGUACGAGUCCCUAUGAGUGAAGGAUAAGAAAGUGACGAGUAUGGUAGCACAUCUGUCCUUACAGGGAUCCUCAUAGGCCAAGGAUUCUGGAUUUGAACAAGUCAGUCUCCAACUAUGGUUUAGAGGCUGAGGACUGUGACCAUCAUCCCCCCUUAGAGCUUCUUUCUGGGCCACUGGCUCAAAGGGCCCCUCUCAGGGGAAAAAGGACAGUGUGAUUCCCUUAUUUUGUUGUGGAAAGGCCUCAGUAGCCGAAGGUGUUUGCCUGAGUUAUUGGUCUGAAUGGGAUCUUCUCUAGGACAGCUAGGUGCAUAGCACAUUGAGUUACUCUGCAUGCUUAUAGUACCUGCUUAUGAACAGAAACAGAGGCAAAAUUAAUAUGAAA
ensembl:lncRNA